CUUUUUACCGUGAUGUUAAACUUUCCUUUCACAAAGAAGUGAAGCUCCAGAGACAAAUGUUCAAACUUGCAAACACAAAAGUGCUCAAAAUGAACACUUCUGUAGGAUCACUGCCUGUGCUGGCUGUGCUACUUUUAGUGAUUGGAGGAAGCAGUGGAGACUCGGUGACCCAGACAGAAGGACAACUGACCCUCUCUGAGGGGGCAAUUCUCACUAUUAACUGCACUUACACAGCCACAGGAUAUCCGGCACUUUUCUGGUAUGUCCAGUAUCCUGGUGAAGGUCCACAGCUCCUCCUGAAGGCCACAAAGGCCAAUGAUAAGGGAAGCAACAGAGGUUUCGAAGCCUUGUACAACAAAGAAGCCACCUCCUUCCACUUGCAGAAAGCCGCGGUUCAAGAGUCAGACUCGGCUGUGUACUACUGUGCUCUGAGUGACACAGUGACAGGAACUGCAGGGGGAGCCGCGCACAAACCGAGGCGCAGUGAGGGGCCAGGUGCAGAGUGCCUGCCUCUGUGACCUACUCUGCUCGAGGGGGUUGCUAUUGCCACUUACUGCCCUAUCACUCUCAAGCUGAACGCCGAUCAGCUUCAAGAGGAGAAAAACAAGAGGCAGAAAUGCUCCCCGCUACCUGCCACCCACCGUGGUGCAGUGACAGUUCACAUAGUCU